UCCCGUUUAGCUCAGUUGGUAGAGCGCGUCACUAGUACCUCACGGGUUUAGCUAUGACGAGGUCAGUCGUUCAAGUCGGCUAAUGGGAA